rnacentral:rRNA from 1 species
AGUAACACGUGGAUAACCUGCCUAUAAGACUGGGAUAACUUCGGGAAACCGGAGCUAAUACCGGAUAAUAUUUUGAACCGCAUGGUUCAAAAGUGAAAGACGGUCUUGCUGUCACUUAUAGAUGGAUCCGCGCUGCAUUAGCUAGUUGGUAAGGUAACGGCUUACCAAGGCAACGAUGCACAGCCGACCUGAGAGGGUGAUCGGCCACACUGGAACUGAGACACGGUCCAG